rnacentral:rRNA from 1 species
UACGUAGGGGGCAAGCGUUAUCCGGAUUUACUGGGUGUAAAGGGAGCGUAGACGGCAUGGCAAGUCGGAUGUGAAAGCCCGGGGCUCAACCCCGGGACUGCAUUUGAAACUGUCAGGCUGGAGUGCAGGAGAGGUAAGUGGAAUUCCUAGUGUAGCGGUGAAAUGCGUAGAUAUUAGGAGGAACACCAGUGGCGAAGGCGGCUUACUGGACUGUAACUGACGUUGAGGCUCGAAAGCGUGGGGAGCAAACAGG